AGGGAAUCUUCGGCAAUGGGGGCAACCCUGACCGAGCAACGCCGCGUGAGUGAAGAAGGCCUUCGGGUUGUAAAGUACUUUCAGCGGGGAGGAAGGGAGUAAAGUUAAUACCUUUGCUCAUUGACGUUACCCGCAGAAGAAGCACCGGCUAACUCCGUGCCAGCAGCCGCGGUAAUACGGAGGGUGCAAGCGUUAAUCGGAAUUACUGGGCGUAAAGCGCACGCAGGCGGUUUGUUAAGUCAGAUGUGAAAUCCCCGGGCUCAACCUGGGAACUGCAUUUGAUACUGGCAAGCUUGAGUCUCGUAGAGGGGGGUAGAAUUCCAGGUGUAGCGGUGAAAUGCGUAGAGAUCUGGAGGAAUACCGGUGGCGAAGGCGGCCCCCUGGACGAAGACUGACGCUCAGGUGCGAAAGCGUGGGGAGCAAAC
rnacentral:rRNA from 1 species